AUGGCUCAUUCUUUAUAUUUCCAUUUUCUUCCGUAUAAAGUCUUAUUAAAAUCAUAACUUUUUAGUCUUGCUUCGAUUGAAGGUCUCGAGCAAUGGCUUUCAGCAGUUUUGUUCUAAGACCAUGUUCUAAAUCCUUGAUUUUUAUACCCUUUGUUAUGGUCAUGGGAGUCGUACUGACCUUGAUCUCCCCACGUUUCACUCUCCUUGGCCUCUCCACGUUUCCUUUGGAAAGAAAAAGGAUGCGAAAUCUGAGCGGUGUCUCCUACUUCGAAACCCUCCCAAGUUAUUUCAUGCCCGAUCCUAUGUGUUCUCUCUUUCCCUUGCCAUCAGGAACCUCGCAUGUAUGUCGUCACCGGAGGCAGGAUGCCCUCUCCAUUCAGCUCAUGCGCCUCUAAACAUAUUGCCUCAAUCCAUUAUCUUUACAAAUAUACGGUGGCCAUGCUCUAGCUCCUUUAAUGUUAGGUGUGAUCUCUUUUUUACGCCCCAUGAUUUAUCUCCAUUGUACUUUUAGUUAUACAUAUAUGGAACUAAUGGAUAAGUAGGAUUAAUGGAUGCAUAGUUCAACACUUGACGAUGAAUAAAUGAAAUAAAUAUACGCAUACAUAUAUAAAUGAUUGGAUUUCAGUAUGAUUAGAGUUAUAAAUGAUCUAUUGUGCCAUGCCCAUGGAAGGUGGAGAAGUUACAUAUGCCUUCCCAUGUCCUAGGUAAUACCUGAAUCAGAGAUCAAAUAGACCCUUGAUGAUCCCGGGUGAGCUCCCUGGUUUGGUUUCAGUCGAGUACUGCAGAUUGUUAGAUUUAAUCAUUGGGCCUACCGAGUACCGAUUGACACAUGUCAUUGCCAGCCAGCUGGUUGGUUUUGUUUUAGUGCAUUAAGAAACUUUCCAAGUCUUGAAGAUGAGUCUACCACUAAGUGUUACGAAAUAGUUAUUUUAGUAUGUCCACCAUGAUGUAAAAAUAAUUCUUGAUCUUCUAUGUAUGAUGUUCACUAAUUGCAGGAAAAGGUGUCGGAAGCCAGGGUAAUGGUGCUUCAACAAAGGUCACAAUAGGUGUGCACCAUGAUCAACGGACGUACCGGUUCGUUCAUAUUGUUUACAUUCAUGACAUUAAUUGUAUCCUUCCUAGGAAAAAACUGAGUUCUUAUACAUGCAGUGUGGCUGUCUGCCCAUGUCGCCAAUAGUGCUAGUUUUGGGAGGAAGUUCUUCUUUGUACUUGAUGCAGUCCAGUCAACGUUAUUUUCCAUCUCCAAAUUAUGAGAUGAUUGUUUGUGACCUAAAUACUACUGCAAACCACACAUAACUCAUGUUGUAGCAUAGAACAAACAAAAUCAUCCAUGAAAAAAUAUAUUUACUUUCCUCAAGACAAUUGAAGUUGUCAUCAGAACCAUAGAAAGGCUAGCUUAGAUGGUACUAAUUCCACCUUUGGCAUGAUCACAUUUUUUAAGAUAUGGUCUAUUGAUAUCCAAUAAAAAGGCGAUAAAAGAGGGAUCACUUGCAAGGAAGUAUGAUUGCAUGCUUCCGCUUAUAAUUUGGUGUAUUGUUAUUCCUCGGGGUUUCAAAACAAG
rnacentral:lncRNA from 1 species